AGUAUUCAGUUGUUUACAUUUACUCCUUUGGCUGAUUAAGCGAUGUAAAGCGUAUUUAAUCUCCAUACCUUCGUUUUAUUUGCUUUUUUCAUUUUAAAUUUGCUUUCACCCUAACCCUAACCCUAACCCUAGGGUUAGGGUUAGGGUUAAUUGUUUCAGAAUCGUUUGUUUAUGUAGUCGGCACUUAAUGUAUAUCGGCUGAAUGGACGUCAGUGAUUGGUUGAAAUUACAGAAAUUUGACAACUUUCACAUGGAAUAACUUAUGGAUUUCUUUUUUUGUUAAGAAGACUAAGAGAAAAAGAUGUUUUAUAUGACACAUUCUACCAGUGUUCCAAGUUUCGAAGUGUUUCGUUAAUGAAAAAUGUGGCCUCCGUUUUAAAAAAGAUCCGACUUUCGUUUUGUUAAAACACUUUACUUUCACUAUUUUAUGAUUCUAAACUUCAUGUUAACCAAGUGUGUGUGGAAUCGUACUGAGACGAAUAUGGCCAAUGACUAAACUUGGAGUACUUUGCUGGGAUUAAGGCAAUAGACUAAAAGCAAGAUGACUUCCCCCAUCUCCACCACUUCCCAAAUGCAGAAUACCAGAAGCUGAAAUUUCUGACUAUGGGAACUAUUCUAAAAGAGUUCAUGCGGAACUCAGACUCUAACCGAACCCUUCAGUUGUUAAUUGGUUAAUCAGGAAUAUAUCUAAGUAAAUAGCAUUCCUCCACUUGGUGACCAGACACAACACCCAUAAACUUUUCUUCAUUGAUUCCUAAUCAAAAUAAAGACACUCGUAUUUAAUUCCAGAACACAUUUAUUGCAAUUGGAGUAAAGAAGUCUGACAAUUCUUUAUAUAAUUCAAAAUGGAGGUAUUUCAGUAAUGUGAUACAUACCUAUGGGCAGCAAAAGUAGUGCACUGACUGAGUGCUGAUAGUAAAUGGAUAUUCUGAUUAGAAACAACAGCAAAAUGGCAGGUAGUAGUAAAUCACUAAAGUAAUUAUUAUGCCCACAGGCUCAAUGAUAUCUUUAUAUCAAUGACAUCAAUGAUAUCUUUAUAUCAAUCUAUUUUUGAGUGCUAUUGGUUUCUCUGACCAUCAUUUCAAAAUAGAUUCUAUCCAUGUGGAGAUUUAAAGAAGACGAAGAUGAAGAAGAUGAAGACAACAACAAUGAUGUCAAUGAAGAAAAAAGAGAAAAAAGAGAAGAAAAAGAAGCCAAAGAAUUGUAGAAGAGAGUUCUAAAUACAAAAAGAUGUCUAUAGAGUAGAUCAACCAAUCUGUGUGCUUCAUGCUAGAGUACAAACUCCCAGUAACAAACAUAUUUCAAAUGAUAUGAUAGGCAUUUAUUUAGCACAGCAUUGCUCUCAAUGAAAUUUAAAGAAAUAGUUGUCUCUGCUAUUGUCACAUUGGAAGCAAUUCACAAUGACUACAAUAAACUUAAAUUAUGUGCACAUAUCAAGUUUCCAUAACUUUGUUAUUAUUCUUGUGAACUGAUUAUUUAUUGAGUAUUCGUCUUAGCAAAACAAGUCAAAAAUAUAUUAGAAGAAAGAAAUUUUUCUUCAUGCACUUGCUGAUGUCCAGUGCCUGCAGACUGCCCUACCAGUAAGGCUUCUGAUCAAUGGACAUUAUCUUGUAAGAUUAAUACAAUUAUUACAAAGUACUGGAUCUGAAAUGUUCUGCUAUAACUUCUUUUUCAGAAAUGGUACCAUAUCUAAGUAAACAGGUUACAUCAUGUGUGAAAGAAUGCGCUGUUGAAGCAUGUUGCUGCAUUCACCAUUUGUUGCCAUUUUCCUGGGUCCCCCUAGGGUGACCCAUCAAACAGAGUCCCAGUCAGUUGCCAUCUCCACAAGUUACUGCCUCAUGUGCUGUGACCAUGUGGCAUGCGGUCAACCAACAUGAGCUGUCAACUCGACUAGAUUCUCAGUGAAGAGAACACAGUUAAUUCAGAAUAUUCCUAGUCUGCUGCCAUUUAUGGCAUACAUUGACCAAAAUAGUAUAAUAUCCACAAAAAAGAAGUUUGCAACUUCUUUUUUGUGGACAAUCUAUGGGGUACUGACACUCGGCUACAACAAACUAACUCCACCUGUCUGUAUUAAAAAUCUGAGAAAAAUCAACCUACUUCUCUUAUUGUACUCAUAUUUACUUUUCAACAACUUGUUAUAGUGAGCCAAUAAGCAGUUGCUUGAUCUGCUAGAAAUAGCAGUUAAAUCUCUCUCAACUCAUGUCUUACUAUCUAGAAAAAGGACACAUUAUCGUCUGGCCCAGCGUUAAAUAACAUGUACAAAUGAUUUCCAAUUCUAACACAUUGAUUUUGAGUAGUAAGUGCCAUUGUUGUCAUUGUGGCCAUCAUCAUUUAACGUCCAUUCUCUAUACAGGCAUGAUUUGGAGAGUUUGACAAAAGCUAACAAGCCAGAGGGCUGUGCCAAGAUCUAUUGUCUGUUUUGGUAUGGUUUCUGUGGCUCGAUGCCCUUCCAAAUGCCAAAAUCAACUCCCAUUAAUUCACUGAUAAUUUACUGAUUUUAGGAAAAUGAAGGGCAGAACUGACCAAGCCAAUUCACAACACAAAAAGUACAAUAAUAACUCUUCCAUAAAUCUUCAGUUAUUUUCAUGUUCUCUAAGAACAAUGUAUUCCUAAUAUUGUGAACAUCCUUAAUUUGUCCAGAUGUCUUGCUUUGUAUACAAAAAUAAAACAUUAAUAAACUUCCAA